rnacentral:rRNA from 1 species
GAUGAACGUUAGCGGCAGGCUUAAUACAUGCAAGUCGAGGGACAGCACGGGUAGCAAUACUGGGUGGUAACCGGCAAACGGGUGCGGAACACGUACACAACCUUCCUUUAAGUGGGGGAUAGCCCAGAGAAAUUUGGAUUAAUACCCCGUAAUAUAGUUGAAUGGCAUCAUUUGAUUAUUAUAGCUACGGCGCUUAAUGAUGGGUGUGCGGCUGAUUAGAUAGUUGGCGGGGUAACGGCCCACCAAGUCUACGAUCAGUAGCUGAUGUGAGAGCAUGAUCAGCCACACGGGCACUGAGACACGGGCCCGACUCCUACGGGAGGCAGCAGUAAGGAAUAUUGGUCAAUGGACGCAAGUCUGAACCAGCCAUGCCGCGUGAAGGAUUAAGGUCCUCUGGAUUGUAAACUUCUUUUAUUUGGGACGAAAAGGGCCUUUCUAGGUCAACUGACGGUACCAGAUGAAUAAGCACCGGCUAACUCCGUGCCAGCCGCCGCAGUAACAC